rnacentral:rRNA from 1 species
UACGUAGGGGGCAAGCGUUGUCCGGAAUUAUUGGGCGUAAAGAGCGUGUAGGCGGUCCGGUAAGUCAGCUGUGAAAGUCAAGGGCUCAACCCUUGAAAGCCGGUUGAUACUGUCGGGCUAGAGUCCGGAAGAGGCGAGUGGAAUUCCCGGUGGUAGCGGUGAAAUGCGCAGAUAUCGGGAGGAACACCAAUGGCGAAGGCAGCUCGCUGGGACGGUACUGACGCUGAGACGCGAAAGCGUGGGGAGCAA